CACUCAUCACCUGCCUGAGCGUAACAGACAAGCCUUAUUGCUCACACAAUGCCUGCCCAGCUGGUCUCUCCUCUCUGCAUCCCUAACCCAUUGGGAUUACAGGACCUAGAUGAAGAUGGAAGGAGGGGGCAGGGAAGAGGAAGACAGGCCAGAAUGAUGGUGCCACACCCAACUCCUCCAAGGGAAAAGCCAGGGCCAAUCAGAGAAGGAGCCCUUGCUCUAAAGGAAACCGGACACUGGGCACACGGCCUGGGCCCUGCUCUGUGUCGGGUGGCUGAUGUGCCGGACCCAAGCACUGGAAGAUCGCCUGUCCCGCUCCCAGAGAGGCCUGGGCCAGCCAGAGACUCACCGUCCACCCUGAUGCAGAGGACUGAAGGGCUGGGCGAUCUGCAGUGCUUCUGCCCAGACAUCUCCGCCUCCCGUGAGAAACCAUGGGACCCCUGGACAUCGUGGUUAAGCACGUUCCAUUAGGAAGUAGCUUUGUCUGUUUUAACUCCCUUCUCCAGAAAACCCUCCUCUAGAUCUACAGCCACAACUGGGGUUGAGGGGACAGCCGCUUUGACGGUCAAGUGUUCAAUCAGGAGUUUCCUUGCGGCAUGGUGGACUUCAGAGCGUGCCCGCUCAACUGAGACAGCUGUCAGAGCACCGGGCAUCCCUGGCAGUCUUGGGGGUCGUUGAACAAACUGUCUCUGGCUUUUGUUGCAGCCUGGCUUUCCAGUGAGCCCCCAAAAGCUCACUGUGUUGAAGGCGUGGUCCCCAAGGCAAGUGUCCAGAGGUGGGACUUUGGGGGUGUAUGGAUCAUGAGGGUGCUGGCCGCAGGUUCACAGCGGAACGGGCCGUGAGGGGCAGGGCCUGGCGGAAGAGUGUGGGUCUGGGG
rnacentral:lncRNA from 1 species